rnacentral:misc_RNA from 1 species
AACAAAAGAGUAGUGUUCAGCUGGUCUGGUUGGUUAGGUAAAUGUAGGGAAAUUACCAUCUGUGAUAAUUGUACUUCGUUUUCAAAGUCAUUGCAAGUUACCUUGUGUAUGUCAUAGAUUUGCAAGAUAUGUGACAAUGUCCGUCCCCAAUCCUCCUGUGAUCCAAGAUGAUGAUGGUCCAGAAGAAGGUGAAAUAGAAGACGACGAUGAUGACAUAAUUUUUCUGGACGGCAGCAGUCCUCAUCGGAGUAGCACAACAAGCACAAGCCUUGAUGUUUACCCCCUGCCUACAAGGAAAGACAGUUAUGAACGGGACAUUCGCCACUUUGAGCUUCGCAGGGCUCGGACUGCUCGUAGAAGAACUUCUGGUACCAACAAGAGUACCCACACCAUUGGUUCUUCUACACGAGUUAAAACAAAAAUUUCUAGGACAGGUUUAACAGAAGGGAAGGAAAACCGUCAUGUUCGCCAUACAUCUCCUGCAAGAGUGCAUCGCCGUCGGAAAGAAUCCAGUGAAAAUGCUCUAGUAGAUUUCAAGGAUGUCUCACCUUUACGCAGAGAUUCUAGUUGUAGUAGUAUUGAUAGUGAUGAAAGAACAACCGGUAGAGCACCUUACCAUAGGUCUUCACGGAAGACGUCCUCCAAGACUGCAAGAUUCAAAAGAAAAUCAAGCUCCAGUCCAGAGUCCACAUACAUUCCAUCAAAGCGCAGAUCUCAUCAUUCUGAAAAAUGUCCUUUGAUGAAAGUUUUGCAUUCUGUUGCAAAAGAAACAAGGCUAAUAGCUAUGGAAAAUUCUGAGAGUCAUUCAGAGUCAAGUAGCUUGAGACAAAGACUGUUGAAUAUGGGUGCCAUGCCAUCUGUACAUGAAGAAACCCAUUCAAAGGACCAAAAUCAAAGCAAUAUUAGUUUUGCUCAGGAUGAAAACAUAGCCUUGGACAAUUCAUCAAAGACUGAGGAAUCGAGCAAGCAAGUACAAAAUGGAAGUACCCAAACCGAGGAACCUCCUGCGUAUCUCCUUGAUAAGCCUGCUCCUGAAAUUGUAGUCCUGACAGAUAAUGAAGAAGUAGAUAGCAACCAACAAAAUAUGUCUAAGGAAAAGAACCAUACUAGUUCUAAUACUUCUUUACCUAAGAGAGCACCCACCUCUGACACCUCACUUUAUGUACCUUCAAAUACUGAAAAAACUGAUAUUGUGGUUAAUUCUGAGAAUGAUGAAGAUGAUGAUAUAAGCCAUCUUCGCCUCCUGGCCCUGCAGUCAAAGAAGCAUGAACCUUCUCCGCCAGAGGAUGCUGAUGUGCUGCAAUUAAGAUUGGCUGCCCUAAAAACAGCCUUUAUAAAAAAGUUAAAGACUCGCAAAAAAAUUAGUAUCAAGAUCAACAGCAGGAUCAGUAAGGAAGAUCCACUGUCACCUUUAGAUGAAAUUCCCAUACCAUUUUCAGUUCCUUCUCCCGACGAAGUAAUGACUCCGGUGGACAUGGAACUUGCUGAGACUGAUGACGAGGAUGCCUUUGUUGAUCCAAUCAUCCACUACUCACCAUCUGAUCCUGUUCCUGACUGCUACUCCCCAUCUGACCCCAUACCUAACCACUUCUCCUCCCCUAAUCAUUAUCCUGACUGUUACUCCCCAUCUGACCCCAUACCUGAUCACAUUUCCUCCCCCAUUCCUUACCCUGAGUGCUACUCCCCUUCUGAUCCUACAGGAUCUCCUAUUCUGGAGUCAUCCCUUCAGGACCUGCUUCCUCCUCCACCUCCACCUGAUUUAGACUUGCUUUAUGCUGACCAACCAUUAGAUACUGGUUUCCAAAACAAUUUGUAUCAUACUGGAAGUUUCAUGAACACAGGGUAUGAACAAUCUCAAGAUCUUCUAGCCCUCCCUCCAUUACCUCCAUACUUUCAGCAACUUCUAUCAGAACCUCCUGAACAGUCUGUGGGCACUUUCAGCACUGAGCAAGAAAAACUUACAAGUAUUGUUAAUGUUGACUGUUGCACUUUGGGUGAUGCUUCCAAUGAAAUUAGUUCAAAUCUCAUAGAGGUCCCAGUCGUGAUAGAUAUUGAGCCUGAAUGUGAUGAAUUGGUUCCUGCAGCUACACAGUCUUCAUACAGUGAGGAAGAUAGAGUAGAAAACAAAGCUGGAGCUGGAGAUGAUCCUGUACCUUUGACAGUAUGUCCAGCAGAUUCAAAUCCAUCGUGCAGUCCAAAUGUUUCUGAAACAACUAGGAAAGACGAAGAAGAAAUAGCUAAACCUAAUCAAGUAUCUUUAGAGGAAGAAGAAAAAAUGCUCAGACAACGACUGCUUCUCAAUAUGGCGAGAAAAAAAGAGAAUUUACCUAAACAGAAGAAACUAGAACCAGAAACAGUGAAUAAAAGAAGUCAAGCCUUGCCAAAGAGUGCUCCUAUUGAGAAAGUACAAGCAAAAGUAAAAUUACCCAAAAAUAUUUUCACGAAGACAAGUACUCCAAAACCCAUGGCUGUUGCCACUUCAGAGUCGCCAACCUUGCGAAGAUCCACAACUCCUGUCGUAGCUGUGACAACUGCGGCUACUGUUAAAAGAGUAAUUGUGAACCUGGGUGAGGAUUCAGAUAGCUGUGAAGACUAUUCAGAAGCAGAAGCUCUUGGGCAAAAGUGUAUUGAAAAUAAAGAAAAAUGGCUAUUACAUUUGAAGGAGCUAGAAGUUAACCCACCAAAAAUGAUAAGUCCUGGAAACAAAUCAAAGCCUGUCAUCAGAGGAAAAGCAACCUCAUCGGCAACUAUUAAAAGCAAACUACCCAUUCAAGAUGAAAAUGGAAGGAAACCUUUUGCUGAAAAUUUGGCAGACUUGGAAAGCAGUGUAGAGCGAUUCUUAAAAGGUGUUCGCAGUUCGCAAGAAGCCAUAUCCAAGUCUAAGUCUUCGUUGGGCUUGAAAUCAACUCCAUCAAAUGGCACUCCUGUGGCAGUGAAACACCUUCCAGCUUCACAACAAGAAGAAUAUCGUCGUUUGAAGCAACAAAUUGCCACACUUGAAAAGCAGCGACAAAUAUCAAUUGAACAGAAACGGGUUCCACCAAGUGUUUCUAUUGGUACACAGAUGAACACUUCAACCCAUCAAAAGAAUACAAAUCUAAUCAAUAAGGGUCCAAGCAAAGUAGUUUUGUCCUCCCAUAGCAGGUCACAGACCUCAGAAGCUUCAGUACUCAAAAGGGACUCAAAAGCUGUUAACACCUCUGCAUCUUCCAUUAUUUUAAAACAGCCUGUUUCAACUUCUACUCUUAAAAAUGUGAAAGCUGCAGCACCUCGAACCUCUCCUAAAGUCAUGAACGUAAAUGCUCGUCAAACAUCGUCUGAUACUGGAAAAGUAGCAGUUUCUCAAAGUUCAUCGCAAACAGAUUUUAGUAAGCUACCAAGAGACACGCAACUUCUGAAAGGUAAAACUGCUUUAGCAAAUGUUUCAAACCUCAGUGCCACUAGUCUCCCAAACUUAACAAAAACGGUGCUAGAACCACAAAAAACAAUCAAAACAAGCACAGCAGUUGCACCGAAUCCAUCAAGCCUCUCAAGUCUUGAGGAAAGUCUUGUUUUAGAAAGGUCGCAUGUUCUAAGUGAACUGUCAGCUCUUUCUAAACUACUUUCUCAGGUCGACCAAUCAUUAGAGGCGCAAUCACAAACAGCGGGAGAGGUUUCAAGUCUUAUAGAUAAACUUUGUCUAGCUGCUGGUCGAUGGAAAGCGCAAAACGUGACAGUAACUAGUUUAGUGCAAAAGGUGGCUGAGCGUCAGAAAGAACUAUCCUCAAGACAUCGUCGUUGUGUUGCUUUAUCUAAAUCAUGCACUGAAUUAGGUUCAAAACAGAUUGGGAAAAGUUACAGGAGUCCUGGAGCUAAAGCUGAUGCAAUGCAUCUACAGCUGAAACAAGUCCAUGAAAAGACUCAAGAUCUUGCACGAAGGAAAACUGCUGAACGGUCGAGAAGGAAUGUUUUGGAGAAAAGAGCAGAAGAUUGCCUUAUAAAGCUUUUUUCAGACUCAAGUGCUGAGAAUUUGAAAUCAGCUAAUCAAGCUCCAGCUCCCUCACUCAAGGCUUCAGCGCAGGAGAAACUAAGGGUAGCUCCUGGGGCAAUCCAAGUGAAAAGUCCCGCAACAGGUUCAACAUCAGAUGCAUUAUCUUCUGUGCAUGGAAAGACUUCAUUGCAAGUAGACCCUGCCUUGAUUUCCAAAGCUAUAAGCAUGCGACUAGCUUCAAACAAAAUUAGAAGUGCCAAAGCAACACUUAAUUUGGCAAACAAACGCUUAAAUACAAGAAAAUCAAGGAAGUUCAAAAGUUCAAAUAAGCAAGCACCAAGUCUCGAUAUCAGGCAAUAUUCAUCUGACAUGGACAUAUCAACUGAUGGUGAGGAAGCAGAAAAGAAAAGCAAAAAUUGUAGUGGGAAUACAGAUGUUGUUGAUAUGCUUGUCAGCCCCGGUUCAAGUUUAAGUGCACCAGAAACAGACCCAGUGAACACACCCUCUGAGGGAAGUAGUGAAAAUGUUUGCCAAAAUGCUGCUUCCAGUAGAAACAUUGUUGGCUUUGAAUCAUACUAUGAUGACAUCCCAAUCGAUAUUAAUGCCACAAAUACUAGAGAUCCACCUUCAGUUGGCAAAGAAGCCAGUCAUAAAAAACAUGCAACUGGGAAUGAUAAAACCCUUGCUUCAUCAAGAAAUUUCCUGAAGGAUUAUGUUUCCCCUCUGAAUGGAUUAAAUGUUUUCAGCAGCGUCAGUUCAAAGGAGAAAUUCAAAGAAGAUGUCCUGGAUCCCUAUGCUAUUCUUUGUCCUUAUGAUCUCAAUGGGAAGUGUCAGGACACAGAUUGUCAGUACAUACACCAACAUCAAUAAAUAUACACCUGGCUGUGGUGAGAAGUACAGUUGUGAUGGUGAAUCUUACUGGAAGGUAACUUACCUUGGAAAGGCAAGGGUUCUGGAAUAUGAAUAGUAAUAUCAGAUUCCAUCAUUUUGAUUGUUGGAUCAUCUAGUCUCUGUUCCGGAUAAAAUUUGUCUUUUUCUUUAGAAGAGUAUCCUUUCACCACUGUUAGAUUAUUUUAUCAUUUGCAUUAGUCAACAAAAUAAUAUCCUUAUAUAGCGUCACCAUUCUGCUCCCGUUCAUUAAUAAGUGCCAAAUCUGGUAUUACAGCAUAGCCAUUUGUAAUUGUGGCUGUGAUUAUUUAGAAGGGUACCUGAUGGUUUUCUAUUUUAAGUAUUUUUUCAGUUGAUAUUUUCAUUAAGUUUUUGACAUGUUUUGACUCUGUAUAUAAUUGCUUUUGUUUUUGCCAAUUUUAGUUAGGAGAAAAAUUGGGUUUGUGUGAAUGGGAUUUUUGCCCUGUAGAUCUUGUCAUCAUAUUUUUAAUAUAGUGGAUGAAAUAUUUUUGCUGUUACCGUUUGGUACCGUUUGGUGUACUUAAGGCAUGAGAGCCCUCAUACUUAGAGUAGAUAUGUAUUUGCUUGAUUUUCGUUCUUCCUCUAGUCCAGUCCCUGAUUUAGACACAGGCACUGACAUCUGCAGAUCAACCCUUGUGGUGCAUUUUAUUCAAUGAACAUUUUCGCUUAGAAGAAAGAUUGGUACACUUCAAAAUAGAUGCACACAUUACCUCAAAUCUUGUUAGAUAAAGCAAUCCCUCUCCAUGCUCCCCAAUCUCCACUUGUUGUGUUUUUCUGAAUAAGAAUUUAUUUUCUAAAUCAAUUUUGAUUAUCUGUCUUCAUAUCCAAUGCAAAUUCUGCUUCAAUUAAGUAGCUAUCAUAUAUCAAUAAAACGCAUGUGAUAAUGUUAUUUUUUAUGUAAGUUUAAGUGAAAGGCUGUCAAACAAUCACUUCAUGACUCACUGUUUAUAUUGUAGCAAUACGUUUCGCAUUCUCAACUGUCAUAUUAAUGAGUAUUUUUUUAGCUGAGGCUUGUCAUAGCUGCCAGAUUGGAUGGCAGUUACUUUUCACUUCAUUGCGCCUUUUUUAGUGCCAUGUCAUUUAAUCCACCAGGAAACCUGUCAGCACUCACAAACACACCUGGUGUGACAAUUGCGGCGCUACACCUGGCAGAACACCAACCAGAAGAUGGAAGACUGACAAGCUCCAAAAAAGGACUGAAACCCAAGAAGAAACUGAAAUGAAGUACAAGCCCGUCCUCAGUGCAGUGAUUGAUGGAAGUCCUCAAGACACAAUUAAGUCAUGACAAGAAAGAAGAUUUCAGGGGAAUCUCUGCGGAGUUCUCCCAACAUGGAUGAAAAAAAAACAACAAUUGUUUGAUUUUCAGUGCAGUGCAACCAUUUAUCUGCCCCUAAAAAAUAGCACGAAGAAGUUAAAUAUUACUCUUCAAUCGCAUCUUCAAGGGUACGUAGCCCCUUCCUGAACCUUUGUGGCAUAACUUCCAAGUUUGAUCAGUGUGAAAGAGAGUAUCCUGUAUACUUCCAGAUUAUUUUACAAUAAAAGUCAAUGAAAUAACU